GAGAGAGAGAGAGAGUUUAAUAUAUAUAAACAUAUCCACUUGUAUGCAUAUCUGUGAUGGCAACUAUGUAGUAGCGAUAUACAUGAAUAUUUAGGUAGGUGAGUAGGUUAAAAGCAAACAUGUUCAUAUUUUUGUAAAUGUUUAUAUACGUGUAUGACAUGGAUCAGUAAUAAUAACAGUAAUAACAAUAAAAUACUUAAAUAUGUAAAUACAAAAAAAAAAAUCUUCAGAUGGCGGUGUUGACACGAUAAUAAUGAUUGUAAAAAUGAUAUCAGAAAACAAAACAUUCGUCGCCCUCCACUAUAAGGGUCCAACACAGUAUUUCAUAAGUGUGUGUGUGUGUGUGUGUGUGUGUGUGUGUUGUUCCACAAGUGUUAGGAGUUACAUUUCGUGUGUUGCUGUGUAUUGCUUGUCAUGUAGCGUGCCUGUGUGUGUGUGUGUGUGUGUGUGUUUCAGCGAGACACAAAGAACAAGAAAAUAUUAAAAGUCAGUGUUGAUUUGUAUUGUAUUUAUAUUGCGACGAAGACAAGACCGAGGCGUGUAUGCUACGUGUAUUUUUUUUUUCCUCGUACACAACCAAAACACAACACGUCGCUGCAAAGAAUAGGCAAGUGACGUCAUCGGCCGCGUCAUUGACUUAUCUUUAAUCUUUUUUUUCGCUUUUUCACGGUGUAAAAAAAAAAAAGGAGUUAUCAUAAAUCAUUCUUCAUUUUUCGUCUGCCAGCAUUGAAUUCCUUAUGAUUAUAUUCGUUUACAGCUCUCGUUUUCCUCUCCCAGUGUAGUGUCUUCGUUUUGUAUUGUGGUUAUCGUCGUCGUCGUCGUUGCUGUUGUUAUCGUUGUCGUCCCCCUCACCACCACCACCACCACUACAACCACCGUCAGUACCGUCACUAUCACCAUCCCUGUCGUGUAUCUCGGUUUUCGCCUUUCCUUCGCAGUACCGUUCUUUCUUCCAGUUCCCACAAAGCAAGACGUAUUGAGAAAUGUUUCCUGGAAUACUUACAUACCUCACGAUGCACUCCAAGUUCUUAGAAACCAUUCAUUCCAAGGGUCUGUUUUCUUUCUUCCCGUUUUUUUGUGUGUGGUUUUUGUUUUUGGAAUUCGUCUCGUCUGAAUGUUGCUCUUUCUCCGGUGUUCAUGUUCUCCCUAUGUAUCAGUGUUCUCUUUUCUCUCAUUUUGUUUUUUAGUUGUCCAUUUCGUGUUCUAUAUGUUUCACUCUCAUCUCGCGACCUUUAUGUUAGUUCUCUUGCUGUCAUGUUUUCUCUGUUUCAAUUUAUGUUUUCUUUCUUUCAUUUGAUUUUUAGUUUUGUAUUCCCUGUGUUCCAUGUUUUCCAUUCUUUCAUAUCGCGUGACCUUUAUGUUAUUUUUCCUGCUGUCAUUUUUUCUCUGUGUAUCAGUUAAUGUUCUUUUCUGUUUCAAUUUAUGUUCUCUAUUUCUCUCAUUUGAUUUUUAGUUUUGUAUUCCCUAUGUUCCAUGUUUUCCAUUCUUCAUAUCGCGACCUCUGUUAUUUUCCUGCUGUCAUGUUUCCUCUGUGUAUCAGUUUAUGUUCUUCUCUUUUCUCUUAUUUUGCUUUUAACUCUCCAUUUCGUGUUUUAUAUUUUCCGUUCUCGUCUCGUGUGUUUUAUUUUACUCUUGUCCACAUUUUCCGUUUCCGUUUUUUUUCUUCAUUUUGUGUAGUGUGUUCCCUGUUUAACAUUUUUUUUUUUUAAUUUCUCUGGUCCCGUUGCCUUCAUGUUGCUCUCUCUCUCUCUCUCUCUCUCUCUCUCUCUCUCUCUCUCUCUCUCUCUCUCUCUGGUUAUCACGUCAUCUCUAUGUAUCAGGGUUUUUUUUUCUCCUUUUCAUUUUUUUCUUGUUUUGUGUUCAGUGUGUUUAUCUUUCUUUCCUUCUCGUCUCAUUAUCGUGUUCUUCUUCUGGUUAUAAUGCUGUUCUUACGUAUCAGUUUAUGUUCUUCCUUCCUUCGUGUUGUCGCAGUGUUCUUGUUUUCCAUCUUGCUGUCCAUUCGCUAAGUUGGAUGUUUGCUUCUCGCCUCACCAACUAACCUCCAUUUCGAGAUUUUUCACUCCGUCGUUGCAGUUUCUCUAAUGUAACCUCCAUCAAGAUAACCAUGAACUAACAAUCAACUAACCGUUCCUAAUUGCUGGGUAGUUAUCUCUUAAAGCCAAGCCACGUCCAUAUGUCCACUAAUAUUCCUCUGAUGCUGUCCAAUGUUUGCACUAAAUGUAAGAAAUCGUCGCUUAUUCCCUCUUCCCGUUUUCUCUCAGUGUGGGCUUUUGAUGUCGACCUUCCAGAGCUUGGGGACUGAAUUGUUAGUCUUGCUGCUGCUGCUGCUAACUCGGUCCUCUGUAACACUUUUAUCGUAGGGUUUAAAAACAUCUCUCGUGACCUCUGACCUCCGACCUGUGAUAUCCAUGUCCAGUAUGUAUAUACCUUAAGAACUUUCAUCCGUGCUCUGUUUGUUCUGGUUCUUAAACUUUCUUCUUCAUCUUUCUUCAUCUUUUUUUUUCUGUUCUGUCAUAUUUUUUCUUCAUCGAUUUUUCUGUUCUUCUAGUGAGUUGUGUUUCUUCAUAGUGUUUUUUUUCUGUUGUCAUCUUCAUCUUUUUUUCUGUUCUAAUCGUCAUCUUUUUUCUGCUCUAGGUCGUCAUCUUCAUCUUUUUCUCCAGCCUCCAAAGUUAUUUCUUCACUUUUUUUUCUGUUCUAAGUCAUCUUCUUUUCUUCUGUUGACUUUCAUCCUCUUACGUAAACAUCAUCAUUACUAUCACUGUUUCUGUUUGUGUCCGUUCUUCAAUCUCUGCUUAUCCCAUUUCGCCCCUUCCUUUCAUAUGGCUGGGAAUGUCCCUCACCCUCGUCGCUACUCACACUCUCACUACCUCUAUGUAUAUCCAGGCAUUUACCUAUACACCCAACACCUCAUACCUUUACUUAACCUCCAUACCUUCAGUUACUCACCUUUGAAUCUUACUUACCUUCACCUGUCACGCACACACGGACCUACAAACACUUCACUUUCCCAGCCUCACCUGUGCCUCCCACCUCCCUCAUAGCUUUACGAAGCCUCAAUACCUUCAAACAACUCACCUUCGAAUCAUACUUAUCUUCACUUAACACACACGUACGCAAACACAAUCACUUUCCCAGACUCACCAGUACCUCCUCCCUCCCUCAUAUCUUUACUUAACCUCCAUACCUUCAAUUACUCACCUUCGAAUCAUACUUAUCUUCACCUAACACACGCACGCACGCCAACACACUAUCACCUUCCCAGCCUCACCUUCGCCUCCCACCUCCAUCAUAUCGUGCCUAUGCAACCACCACUUACAGCCUUAAUCUAUUCUGUCUCGAUAUUCCAGUGUAAGCGAUCUCAGGCAUUCAUAGCUUAUAACGGAGGCGCUGGAGGGUGAAGGGAGAUUGUCCUGGCGAGAGGUUCAAAGCGCUGAGAUGAUGGUUCCGAGAGAGAGAGAGAGAGAGAGAGAGAGAGAGAGAGAGAGAGAGAGUUAAGGUUACGUAUUGUCAGUUAAUCAGUCAAGGAGUCAGUCGGUCAGUCAUACAGUCAGCCAGUCAAGCCAGUAACCUUGCGUCCUUAGUGAGUGGAGAAAGUUAGAAAAAUGAAGUAAAUUAGAUUAGUUUCCGCGUAUAGCUAACGGUAAUCGAUAAAAAAUGGGUAUAGAGUUUGCUGUUGAAUGUGCGUAGAGUAUCAUGUUAAUUUAGUGGUAAGGAUAGACGUCGAAACAAGGCGGAAAUUUAGGUUUAUUUUACUUUUAUUUCCUUAUACAUUCAAUACAAUAGUUAUAAAGGAUAACCAUGUUUAUUUCAAGUGCACAAUAUAUUUAGUUUUGUUUUUCGCCGUCAUAUUUGUUAUUUCAAGAGCACAACAUAUUUCGUUUUUAUCCCCCAUUUACAAACGCCGUAUACGUAAUCGGAAAAAAAAAUUAAGAGGAAGAAGGAAAGAAAAAGUAUUCGCCGCGUAUAGUAUAAAAGAGGGCGAAAGAAGAAAGAAAAAUUAGUGCUGGUGCUAUUUGAACUGUUCUCGACCGCUUUCAGACUUAACACUUCCUCCUUCGUCGCAGGAACGCUUAUACCUUUGCCUUAUCUAGUGUACUGAAGCCUCGUGCAGUGUUCUUAAAGUUACCCCUCUACCUCGACACCACUGUUCCAUUUUCUUUCUGUUCUGACCUCGAUUUCUCUAGUUACCGUUGUACCUUGACGCCACUGUUCUCCGUUUUCUUUCUGUUUUCACUGCGAUUUCUCUUCCCAAGCGCCGUUUUCUUUCUUAUUUUCCGAGACGAAUCACAACCAACUGUACUUUUUUUUUUUUCCGGUGGGUCUGUUUUACCUUUUCUCAUUGCAUUGCUUCGUUUACGUCUAUUGGCUGUAUCAUCGUUGCGUUAUCUUUUCCUCGUCUUUAUCGUCCCGUCCCUUUAUCUCCUUUAACAAUAUUAUCAUCCUUAUAGAUUAUCUUACGCUUCAUGAUCUAAUUCACAUAACUGCAUAUUUUCAUCGUCUCUUCCUUUUCUUGAUCGUAGCUACCGUCUCUAUUUCCAUGUAUUAUAUUAUUAUCUCUAUAGAUUACCUUAUGCUUCACUGUCUAAUUCACAUAAUGCAUAUUUUCCACUCGCUUAUUGGCUAGUUGUUAUAUAUUUUGCUCCUGAUCUUGAGUCACAUUCACUCUGAAAUAUGUACUUGAAGUGUUUUAUUCUCAUUCAGUCUUAACAAUAGUACUUUGCUCUAUUUUGUAACUGUAUUUGUCAUUCUUAAUCAUCCCACUUUGCUCUUUUAUAGAGUUUGUCCAUCACUUCCGGUCACUGUACUUUGCACCUUUGUACUUUUGUCACGCACUCUUUCGUCUGGAAGCUUUCAUCCUCGUCAUCUCUUUCUCCGUCUUGCUCAACCAGACCAAGAAUAAGUCAUAUCACUAAGUCGUAAUAGCAAACUACCGUACAGUAGCUGUGUCCUCGCGUGGUGUGGCUGCGGACUACACUGUCUCGUUCAGGAAUGUGUUCCGAAACGUUUAUCUCAUCCUUCCUCCUCCCACAGACCUUUAAAAAUAUCUAUUAUAUAUUGUACAUUGAAAAAGUAAAAUAGCAUAGAUAUAUAAAAAUUAUAAAACACAUACAAUGUAAUCUUUAUUCGAGUCAACAUUUCUACUUCCAUAUUUUGCAAUCUUCUGAAUAAAAGAACUUCAUAACGAUGGUUUCGUUUCCCUCCAAAAGGUGUGAAUAAUGUAAAGGUUGUUCCGGCGAGGGUAACUGUCGCAGGUAAAAGGCUUUCAAGGUUCGCCUCGUCUUAGUAAUCCAAUAAGCAAUAAGCUUAAGCUGCAACAUCGUUCUGAAGAAUUAUAUUCCAGGAGGCAAGAUUUACUUUUCUAACGUUGAAACUCUUGCAGCUUUGCAUUUUUGCCCUAUUUUUAAUGAUAAUUCACUCAUAUUCUAGUGUUAAAAAUAUACCUGCAUGGCCUGUCGAGGGUUAAGGUUUCUGUAGCCAGAGAGCAGAGCAAUAACCGUAUAGUUCAACAAAUUAAAAAAAAGGAAAAUUGACCCGAAGCACUGAAGCAGCGAACAUGCGAAGCACCAAAUCUACCAAACAGUCAUGAAGCAGGAGCAGGAGAGCAAGAUGGCGGUGGUGCAGAUGGCCGGAACAACGCGAGCAGAUUACACGCAGCCUGGAGCACAUCACGAAGACCGAGGAGGAGGAGGUCAAGACACCCCCAGGAGUGUUAUAAGUGGCGGCUGGUCCUUGUGAGGGGAGACAGGACGUGAGGAACCUGCGGCGAGGCAUCCAGAUGAUCAUAACAGUUGACUCGUUACCCGGAGCCACAGGUAGUUUGUGUACAUCAGCUGUCCACUGCAGAAGACUAUAAAGCUACAGUCUUUAACAAGCAUCAGGGACAGGCAAGGGGCAGGAGGUUGGGUGUGGCUCAAGACUAGUGAAGACAUCUGCUGAACAUUUCCUCAUCCGGACACUUAAUCUCCUCCACGUCGGCCCACUGGUUUACGAUCAGCGCCUCAUUGCCGUAGCUGAACCAAGAGAUGUAGCGGAUCCAGAUGAAGUAGACAGCAAAAAUAAAAUCCAUGUAAGCCCAGCCCCUAGUCACCCCUCACCUUGCUCAUCUGGUACCAGGAGCCAACGUUCCCGUUGGCAGUGCCUUGCAUGUUCUCCUCCACGGCACGUGCCAUUGCCAGGCCCUCGCUG